UCGUGGCAGAGCAGAGAUGUAGUGUAGCUCGCUGGGACUCCGUGGCCAGCCGUCUGUCACUUUUACCGGGGAUCAUUUGUCUGACAUCGCCGCGGAAUGGGAAGGAUCGGAUUUAUAAUUUUGCACAGUUCCACUGCAUGAACGUGUCGCGUGAUGCGACCGAGAAGAGCUGCCUGCGGGGGGAAAUAUUUAUGGUUCGGGACGGUUUUGUUGGAGUAGCUAGUUGCUAGCGCUGGGCUAGCGACUGUGCUGGCUACUUCGAACGUAUUUGUUAAGGAUGCUACGGUGGAUACGACAACAGCUGGGCUUUGACCCCCCUCAUCAGAGCGACACCAGGACGGUUUAUGUAGCAAACCGUUUCCCCCAGCAUGGCCACUACAUACCACAACGCUUUGCUGACAACAGAAUCAUUUCCUCCAAGUACACAAUUUGGAAUUUUGUCCCUAAGAAUCUGUUUGAGCAGUUCAGAAGGAUAGCCAACUUCUAUUUUCUCAUCAUCUUCCUUGUGCAGUUAAUGAUAGACACCCCAACUUCCCCAGUCACCAGCGGCCUGCCUCUCUUCUUUGUGAUCACAGUAACUGCUAUAAAACAGGGCUAUGAGGAUUGGCUGAGACACAAGGCGGACAACGAGGUGAAUGGUGCUCCAGUGUUUGUGGUUCGCAGUGGAAGUCUGGUCCAGACAAGAUCAAAGAACAUCAGGGUGGGGGAUAUUGUUCGUGUAGCUAAAGAUGAGACGUUCCCAGCUGACCUGGCACUGCUGUCGUCAGAUCGUGCAGAUGGCACCUGUCACAUCACCACAGCCAGCCUCGAUGGAGAAACCAACCUUAAGACUCACUACUCCGUGGCGGAGACCUCAGUGUGUCAGUCAGUAACCCAACUGGAGGCUCUGCAGGCUGUGGUGGAGUGUCAGCAACCGGAAGCAGACUUGUACAGGUUUGUUGGUCGGAUUACGGUGACUCAACAAGGAGAGGAGAUUGUCAGACCACUGGGCCCAGAGAAUCUGCUGCUGCGAGGAGCCAGGUUGAAAAAUACCAAAGAGAUUUUUGGUGUGGCUGUUUACACGGGGAUGGAGUCCAAAAUGGCCCUCAACUAUAAGUGCAAGUCCCAGAAACGCUCUGCUGUAGAGAAGUCCAUGAAUACCUUCCUAAUCAUCUACCUGGGCAUCUUGCUGUUCGAGGCUGUCCUCAGCACCAUCCUGAAGUAUGCCUGGCAGGCUGAGGACAAAUGGGACGAGCCUUUCUACAACCAGAAGACUGAACAAGAGAGAAACAGCAGUCCGAUCUUAAAGUUCAUCUCAGACUUCUUGGCGUUUCUGGUCCUCUAUAACUUCAUCAUCCCCAUCUCACUCUACGUUACUGUGGAGAUGCAGAAGUUUCUGGGCUCCUUUUUCAUUGGCUGGGAUUUAGACCUUUACCAUGAGGAGAGCGACCAGAAAGCUCAGGUCAACACCUCUGACCUCAAUGAGGAGCUGGGACAGGUGGAGUAUGUGUUUACAGAUAAGACGGGUACGCUAACGGAAAAUGAGAUGCAGUUCCGUGAAUGUUCAAUUAACGGAACCAAGUACCGAGAAGUUAACGGCAAACUGGUACCAGAGGGAAUGACUGACGAUUCUCCAGAUGGUUCUACGCCUCACCUGAUUGGAGAGGAACUGUUAUUUCUCAAGGCGGUGUCAUUGUGUCACACGGUUCAGAUCAGCUACGACCAGCCGGACUGCCUGGUUGGGGGAGGAGACCCAUUCUCCCAUGUAAAUGGUUUCUCCUCCAAUCACAUGGAAUACUACGCCUCUUCACCAGACGAGAAAGCUUUAGUAGAGGCAGCAAAGAGGAUUGGAGUGGCCUUCACUUGCAGCAAUGGGGAGACCAUGGAAAUCAAAACAUUUGGCAAGUCAGAGAAAUAUAAACUGCUCCAUGUGUUAGAGUUUGAUGCUGACCGCAGGAGGAUGAGCGUCAUACUGCAGACUCCCUCAGGAGGCCAAGUGCUGUUCACCAAGGGUGCAGAGUCUGCCAUCUUACCUUUCACUACCAGUGGAGAGAUAGAAAAGACAAGACUACACGUUGAUGAGUUUGCAUUGAAAGGUUUGCGAACCUUAGUUGUAGCGUGUCGCCACUUCAGCCCGGAGGAGUACAUUGAAGUGGACAGGCGUCUGAACGCUGCUCGCACCGCGCUGCAGCAGAGGGAAGAGAGACUGCAGGAGGCCUUCAGCUUCAUUGAGAGGGACCUGCAGCUGCUGGGAGCAACGGGGGUUGAGGACAAACUCCAAGACAAAGUCCAGGAGACCAUUGAGGCUCUGCGACUGGCAGGGAUCAAAGUGUGGGUGCUGACAGGGGACAAACAUGAGACGGCGGUCAGCGUCAGCCUGUCCUGUGGCCACUUCCACAGAACCAUGAACAUUUUAGAGCUUCUGCAGCAACAUUCUGAUAACGAAUGUGCUGAGCAGCUCCGCAGACUGGCGAGAAGGAUAAAGGAGGACCACGUCAUACAGCAUGGGUUAGUCGUGGAUGGGGCCAGUCUGUCAUUAGCAUUGAGGGAACACGAGAAGCUCUUCAUGGAAGUGUGUAAAAACUGUUCAGCUGUGUUGUGCUGCCGCAUGGCCCCGCUCCAGAAAGCAAAGGUUGUGCGUCUUUUAAAAACCUCUCCGGAGAAACCCAUCACCCUAGCUAUUGGUGAUGGAGCCAAUGAUGUCAGUAUGAUACAGGAAGCUCAUGUAGGCAUAGGUAUCAUGGGGAAGGAGGGUCGUCAGGCCGUGAGAAACAGUGACUAUGCAAUUGCCAGGUUUAAGUUCCUGGCUAAACUUCUGCUGGUCCACGGUCACUUCUACUACAUUCGAAUAGCUACGCUUGUACAGUACUUUUUCUACAAGAAUGUGUGUUUUAUCACGCCCCAGUUUUUAUACCAAUUCUUCUGUCUGUUUUCACAACAAACUCUGUAUGACAGUGUUUAUCUGACACUGUACAACAUCUGCUUCACGUCGUUGCCCAUUCUAGUGUACAGUUUGUUUGAACAGCUGGUCCAUCCACACGUGCUGCAGAACAAACCUGGCCUGUACAGGGACAUCAGCAAGAACUCUCUGCUGUCUUUCCGAACGUUCCUGUACUGGACUCUGUUGGGCUUCUGUCACGCCUUCGUCUUCUUCUUUGGAUCCUACAUACUGAUGGGAGAAGACACCACACUUAUGGGCAAUGGACAGAUCUUGCGAGCUAACAGGCAGCUGAUGUUUGGGAACUGGACAUUUGGAACGCUGGUCUUUACUGUCAUGGUCAUCACAGUCACAUUAAAGCUUGCUUUGGAGACUCAUUUCUGGACGUGGAUGAACCAUUUUGUGACGUGGGGUUCGAUUGCCUUCUACUUCAUCUUCUCUCUCUUUUAUGGAGGCAUCAUCUGGCCGUUCCUCCACACCCAGGACAUGUACUUUGUAUUCGUACAGCUGCUGUCCAGCGGUUCUGCGUGGUUCGCCAUCAUCAUUAUCGUUAUAACUUGCCUCUUUCCUGAUGUGUUGAAGAAGGUCUUCUACCGGCACCUGCAGCCCACCAGCACACAGAAGAGUCAGAUGUAUUCCAACCGUGUGGCGAUAGGUGAUGACUUCAUCGCUCUGCAGCCUCUGUCCAGAGCCAAGAGCCAGCUGGGCAAAAUUAGUCUCUAUCAGCCUCCCAGGCGCAGGCCCUCAGCUGUGUGGAGUCCUUGUGCUGCUACCAACAUGGGCAGAGCGGCUGUUCCCGCUUGGCCCGCCUCCUGGAGCAAAUGACCGGGCAGUGCCAGGCCAGCGCCAACCAUUGCCACACAUCCAGCCGCAGCAACAGGUCUUGGAGCGAUACGGAGAACUUCUACUCCAACGAUCGCAGUAUCCUGACGCUGUCGCCCAUGGAGGCCACCCACUGCUGACUCCCAGGGCCGCUGACUGUAACAGGCAGAGCUGGGGGAGACUCCACUAGGAGAAUAUAAUCACCCUCCUGCCUCUAUUUUAUAAACUUACUUCAGUUUAAGCUCAGUACAUUCUCAGCUGGAUGCAACACAGACUCUUGUGAAACCAAAGGACUCAGCUUGAUGCAGCAGGCUGCUUUCUUCUUCAUCAAUUUGUUUCCCCCAGUGAAUCAGUCCUUAGUAGCAACGUUGAGAAGGACAUCAGACGGGAGCUGCGACAUGGAAGGAAAUAAAACAUGAAGUGUGGCGCAAGUCAGCGUGGCAUGAAGCUGACAUCUGUGGAGCUACUCAUGAAGGAAGACCCGAUCAACCUCUGAGCAGAUCCCUUCUGCAUAUAGUUUCUGAAAGUCCUGCAAAAGUAUCGAAAAACAUUUAAAUUCAGGACAUUUUUUAAGGUCAAAAGAAGAUAUGUCAGCUCACAGGUGCUCCCCUCUGAGAUCAGCCCAGGUACAUGAACUCUAAUGCAGCUAUUUAUUUUUUCAGCACAGUUGCCAAACUUAUUUUUUCAUGCAACUGGCAUUAAAAUGACCUUGUAAGUCUCAUAUAUAUAUUUGUAGACACAGAAUGGAGACUCUGAUGGACAUCUUGCUAGCUGAUGUCAGGCAGCAGUCCUGCUCGAAGCAAUGCAGCCUGUAAGGACUGUAACCUAAACAAGCUGGUUUCGACAUGCUGAUUAAACUCAACACAGGACUGAGGUGGCUUAUAGACCCUGAUAUCCAGGAUGUAGCACCAGGACAGAAGCUCCGUGAAGUCAGACUACAUUAGGGGGAGGAGGAUCUCUGAGAUGUCAGCUAGCAGCUAAGGCCGAACAUCAUGUUGCUUCCAUAAACUGCUGCAUUAACUUUCUCUUUGAGCCCUUGGCCCCGCUGCACCUUCGUUUCUCAUUCAGAUGGAAAGGGAAAAAGUUAGACCUGUAGCUUUCAGAGCUUUACUGGUUCUGCUAACGUCUAGACUAGUUUCCUUAGGACCUACAGUACUCCGUAGAUACUGUACAAGGAGAUUCAUCUCUCUCAUGGAACCAAAGACCAAAAGAUUCAAACUGGAGUUUAAAGAAAAAAGUGUUUAUUUUUGUGCCUGAUUGUACAGAAGCUUAUAUCGUUGUUAAGAAGACUAUCGUUAUUGUUAGUGCUGCUUUCUCGUCAGACUGUUCAGGCCCCUGUCUCCCCGCUGCAUUGCUCUGAAGGAGGCCGGAUGGGGUCUGUUUGAAAAGCCAUACAUUUUCAAGAGCUUAUAUUGUAGAUUAUCAAAGGUACUGCAGAUUGAAGCUGUUUGAGCCUGUUGUUACUUAGUGUCUGGAAUCUUGUUCCCCUUGAAUGCCUUUUUCUCAUUCAGCCGGGUUAGCAAAAGCAUCUUAGCAUUAAAGACCGCGACGCUUGGGGAGUAUUUUGAGGUAACGGGGUCAGUGCUGAAAGCUGACUUAAUGAGGUUUUAUAGGGAGAAUCAUCCCUCUCAGUCGCCUGAAAAUAUUACCCGAAUAUCAGAUCAGAUAAUGGUACCAAUUUUUUUCCCUUUCUUUCCUAAACAAGACAAAAUGGCUUUAAUGGCGAGACGCUUUUCCAAAUCACGGCUGCCGCAUGUCGACCCAGACAGCAGAAUGUCUCUAUCUUUAGAGAGAUAGCUAUAUCAGAUGAAUAUAACUCAGCUUCUACAGAGAUGAAAAGAAUAGCAGAGCAUUUGCACAAGUCACAUAUCAAAACCACAUUUAGUUGUUUCUCAAACCAUUACUCGUCUGUCACCAUUGAAAUCAUCUGAAUCAUGUUUUUGCUGUUAUGUUGUUCUGUCCACCUGUUGAUGAAGUGUGUGAAUCUGUGUGUGUUUGUGUUUCUUGUGUGGCAGCCAUGUUGGUUGAAGGAAGUAUGGUACGUAGCAUUGUUGUAAGCUCUUUGUAUGCUCUCAGUGGUCACAUGUUGCCCGCAGGUCAAAGGUAAAAAAAAAAUUUAUGCUUGGUUUGGCGUCUCUUCUUCCAAAAAAAAAGUAGGUGAAAUGUAGAAAUGUUUCAAGACAACCGUUUUAAACUUGACAUCAACAACGACUGGUACAUGCCUCAGCUCAGACAGGAAACAUACUGAGUCAUAGGAUUUGUCUGUUGCUAUGGUUACUGUUUCAACAAAUCAGAGAGUCAGUAAUGUUUUCGUCAGUUGUUUAUUUUCUGUACGGUACACGUUGUUUGAUGCACACCUGGGCCUGUUAUAUCAUCUCUUUUCAUACAGGUUCAACUGACAGUGAAAGUGUCUAUUUAUUAUUGUGGUACCUUUUUUUUUUUCUGUGUUUGUUUUGAACUUCUCUGACAUAUCAUUAUAAAUGUGAGUCCUGUACAUGACCUGAACAUGGCAACUUCCCACAAUGUUUUACUUGAUCUCAGACACAUAAUUGGGAGGAUGUAGCUCCGUGUUAGCUGUUUUUGUGUUUGACCUGAAAAGCAACAGUGCAGAUGGGAGCUGUCUGACAUAAACAGGAUGUUUAUAAUGUUACAGGACAUUUCAAUGAGCAUAAGGACAUUUUGAAACUUCCAGUUAGAUCACUCUGUCGUGCAACCCAACAGAAUCUUAUCAGGCCGCAUUUACACAGGAAAUUACUUUGCUUUUUUUUACUUACUGAACUUAUCUGAUAUUAAAAAGUGUACCUGGAUACACCUAUGAUUCUUGCAAUCUGUACCUGGAUAAGGAAAAUAUGUUUCUGCUGUUACUGCACCAAUUUUAGACAUAAAAGUCCGUUUACUUGUCAUGAAGAGCUCAGCCUGUGAAGAUAGUUGUAUAAUGUCCUCUGUGGCUGUGAGAGCACUUUGAUGUCUGAGAAAUGCGUUCUUGAGACUUCAAAAACAUUGGAAGAAAUGCUUCUUUAUAAACGAGGGCAUGUAACGGGCAGGAGUUGAUGUUCAGAUGCUUUUAAGUUGUAUGAGAAUUGUAGGAUCUAGCCUUAUAUACUGAAACGAGGGACUUAAAAUCAGGAUAUGUUGGCUUCUGCUGCUGCAUAUUGACCAUUAUUUUUGUAUGUAAGUACAAUACUAAAUCCAGGAGUACCAUUACCCUUAAAUACAAUAUAAAAAGGUCAAAUUUGAUGCAGCAGUGGCUGAGGUAUCCUGACUUGAAUAGAAACUAAAAGUUUGACAACCCUCCUCUCUGGAAUCAGUAAUAAACUCCAGAGGAAGAGGAGUCCCUACUGUCUAAAAGCAGUAACACCUGCAGUGUAAGUGCAGUUCUGAUGCCCCCUUGUGCUCAACAUCAGAGACCCAAAGUGUUUAAAAUGAAAUAAUUAUAAAAUCUAUAAUCAUAUUAAUAAUUACAAACAGAUAAACCAUAAGUAGUGGUUAUGUGAAUUAAAAAAAUGCUUCUAACAAGACUUAAAAAUACAACAAAUGCAAAAUAAAAAAAUAAUUGAUUGACAAUUCUUAAUUAUUAAAUUUCAAAAUCUCCAUUUUCCAGAGACAGAGAUUUAAUGAUAAAAUGUGACAUAUGAUAAAAACACAUGCUAAUCUAUAUGAUUAUUUCACUUUAACACUUUGGGUCUUUAUAUUUAUUUGUGUUAUGUAAUUGAUGGUACAUUUUUAUCCAGACUGUAUAUCCAGGUACAGAUUUUCAAAUUGGGGCCCAUGUAUCACUAGAGUAAUAUCUUCAGAACUGUUAGAGCAGAAAACUGAUGAUUUUGUCUUGUUUUUUUUUUUUUUUUUUUUUUAAAUUAGAUUUGACUUUAGCGAAAACAGAGACCUGAUUCUCCAAAGCAUCGUAGCACUGACAUCAUCUAAGCUUCAUUACAACAGAGCAGCAGAGUUAUGAUACGAGGCCUCUGGGGUAUUUCUAGAAGCAGAAGAUUACUCAACCACAUAAUUCAAAAAACUGUCAUUUAAUAUUUUAUCAUGCCUCGACCACAGAUGAUGAUCAUGUCAUCCAUCAGAAACACUACCCGAGUUUAAUUGGAUACUUUAUUAAGAGCUGUUAAAUUCUGUCUGCACACGUGGCUUUUAACUCUCCUGCUUCUGGAAAUGUUGGCUGAAUAUUAACGAUAUUUAACAACCAAAUGAAAAUGGAACUUAGUCACUUAUGCUCAGUCUUUAUACUUACAAGUAGCCUUAUCAUCCAGAAACCAGAUCCUAACUAUUAUAUUGACACAUCUACGGGCAUGGUUAUCAUAACUUACACAAAGGAUCAAACAAAAUCUUUCAGUAAUAUCAGUAAAUUUAUUAGAAUUUAGAAAGGCUGUCAGUGCAUAGAUGCUCUUGGAAAACUUAGCCAUUGUUUGCAGACCUAAAUCAAAUGAAGGAUUUCUUGAUCAAAUCAGCUUAAAAGAGGAAUCUAAAUAAUAUCAACAGAUCAAUUUUCUGUGACUCAGCAUCAGCCUGUACGAGAUGAAACUGCAGAUCAAUGCUGAAUGGUUUGUUGAAAUCAUUUGUUCUCUCCUCAUCAGUAAAUUAUGCUGCACCAGACCAAUAAUAAACCACCAUCAUCACUCCUCUGUUGACUGAUAUCUGUUGCUGUCUGUAUGUCCUCCCUCCUCUUCCUGUCUGUAAAUCUGUCUUAUAGCUGAUGUUUAUGAAGAUGCGGUUCUAUUUACAAAAUAAAUACAUUUUUAAGAAACAA